UGCUCUCGGGUGACGAGUGGCGGACGGGUGAGUAAUGUCUGGGAAACUGCCCGAUGGAGGGGGAUAACUACUGGAAACGGUAGCUAAUACCGCAUAACGUCGCAAGACCAAAGAGGGGGACCUUCGGGCCUCUUGCCAUCGGAUGUGCCCAGAUGGGAUUAGCUUGUAGGUGAGGUAACGGCUCACCUAGGCGACGAUCCCUAGCUGGUCUGAGAGGAUGACCAGCCACACUGGAACUGAGACACGGUCCAGACUCCUACGGGAGGCAGCAGUGGGGAAUAUUGCACAAUGGGCGCAAGCCUGAUGCAGCCAUGCCGCGUGUAUGAAGAAGGCCUUCGGGUUGUAAAGUACUUUCAGCGGGGAGGAAGGGAGUGAGGUUAAUAACCUUAUUCAUUGACGUUACCCGCAGAAGAAGCACCGGCUAACUCCGUGCCAGCAGCCGCGGUAAUACGGAGGGUGCAAGCGUUAAUCGGAAUUACUGGGCGUAAAGCGCACGCAGGCGGUCUGUCAAGUCGGAUGUGAAAUCCCCGGGCUCAACCUGGGAACUGCAUUCGAAACUGGCAGGCUGGAGUCUUGUAGAGGGGGGUAGAAUUCCAGGUGUAGCGGUGAAAUGCGUAGAGAUCUGGAGGAAUACCGGUGGCGAAGGCGGCCCCCUG
rnacentral:rRNA from 1 species